GAAGAGCCGCAGUGAAUAGGCCCAAGCGACUGUUUAUCAAAAACACAGGUCUCUGCUAAACCGUAAGGUGAUGUAUAGGGGCUGACGCCUGCCCGGUGCUGGAAGGUUAAGAGGAGUGGUUAGCUUCUGCGAAGCUACGAAUCGAAGCCCCAGUAAACGGCGGCCGUAACUAUAACGGUCCUAAGGUAGCGAAAUUCCUUGUCGGGUAAGUUCCGACCCGCACGAAAGGCGUAACGAUUUGGGCACUGUCUCAACGAGAGACUCGGUGAAAUCAUAGUACCUGUGAAGAUGCAGGUUACCCGCGACAGGACGGAAAGACCCCGUGGAGCUUUACUG
rnacentral:rRNA from 1 species